GUAAAUAUUUGUUGAGAAAGUUGCGAACAAUAGCGGGAGAGAGGACUAGUUGGAUUCUUCAACAUUGCAUAUUUCGAAAGGUACGUUGUUGGAACCCCCUUUUUUAUAAUGCGGAACGUCUUUUAUUCUUGGUGAAAUUCGGUACGUUGUUGGCGGAUGGUGGUGGCUCUACGGGCGGUGAUGAAGGUUUACCCUCCUCGGCCUUAUCACUUUUUACCCUUUGUGAGGUGACCAGAUUUGUUUCUGUCGGCCUUCCUCCAGUGUGGAGUUUAUUUGUUUGGUAACAGAAUCAUAUCAUCGCCCGAAAAAUGAUGAUUUCUUAUGUAAGUUUUAAAAGUGCAUUUCCUACAAGUUUGGUUUGUCAUGUAUUUAUUCAUAUUCAGAAUUCAUAGCCCAUUACCUUGAGUUCCAAACAUUUUAUGAUUUUCACGCGCGUGGUGUGGGUGGAGCCGGGCCGUGCAUGUAUAUUAUUAUUUUGGUUCAUGAUAGCUUCGUAACGCUUUUUAUUAACUUCUUUAUAGGAAAAGGGAUUCAUUAUAUUGAUUUUUAUGUAAAGCAACGAGAAUUCUUGAGAAGGGAUUUGAACUUCUGAGAUCCUAAAACCUCAGGUUGACAUCAUGGAAAUGUCAGAUAUGAUUCCUAUAAUCAGGAUCGUCUUGUAGAUUGAAGAUACUUUCUGAUCUAGUGGCGAUGCUUUGUUUAUGUUGAUUUUGUAAUCUGGCGUUGCUGGAUUUAGGAGUUACGUUUAUGGUUUUACGUAGUGUCUCAAGGUUUAUUUUUCUAUCUUAAAGUUGCGAUACUAAUGCCAUAUCAGCUUCAGCAAAGAUUUAUUAAAUUAAUUGCAUAAACCGGUUGAGGUAAUUUUUUAAUAUUUUGUCACUGUAUUCUUUGGAUUCCUUAAAGAAUAUAUAUAUAUGUAUAUAUAUAUAUACAUGAAUAAAGGUUUUUUUUUGCCACGAAGGAAAAAAAUGAAAAAGCGAGAUAGCCGAGUACUUUCGGUCCUAUUCGGACCCUUUGUUGUCUAAUGCUAAAGCUUUCAUUAUUUUUAUAGCUGUGAUUGGCACUAUUCCUGUUUUUUUUUUAUCAUGGUCACGCACAAUAUUUUAUUUUACGUUUUACAUUGUUUUGAAAUAAAUGAGCAUAGCCUAGAGAAUUUCUCAUAUAUAUAAUAUUGUUCAUAAAUGUUAUAUAACGGAAUGUCCUCCCAUGUGAAUUUAGCCAAGUUGUCAUUAGUUAUCGUAAAAUAAGAAAUACAGUAUUGUACUUGGAGACACGUAAGUUCGAUGGAGAUCUUGAAAUUUUUAGAGAUCUGAUUUUUCCAUUUUUUGUGUAUUUAUUUACAUGUUGGUUGAUGGAUGCCAUUCAGUAAUAAUGUAUGUAAAUGGAAUGAUUAUGCUUUGUUCAUGAAGUAUAUAAAUGACAUAAUUACAAUCGUGAUGAACGAACUGCAUUUAAGUUGUAUGGAUACUUCAUGCUUCGUACGUUCUUCACAUUUCAUUUUGAUCCCUUCUUCAUGUGAAAGGUGAAGGCCAAAAUUAUGUUAUUAACAAUGUUUUGAGCCAGGGGAACGGUAAAAACCUGCGGCAUUACAUCUCCUUAUUUAAUGCUUACAAUGAUUUUGUCGCCAAUGCUUCUUAUAUAGUGUAAGUGAUGCUCCUUGCAGUGAAGCAGAAAUAAGUUGACGUCACAGUUCGUUAGUUGUUGAUAUUUUAGGGAUAAUAUUUUUUGCACGAAAGGAACAAAGUCAUGAAUGGCCUGCAUCAUGAAGUGUAUUAAUAACGAAGACAAGAUGUGGUAUUAAAGAUAGUGAAGGGAAAGCAUAAUAAUUCCACAAAUACACCACUCAACGAGUAUAUGGUCCUAAAACUGACAAGCAUGCCGAUACAAGUCGAGAUCGUAAUUUACCCCCUUGUAGGUUGUAACUCUCCCUAAUG